rnacentral:rRNA from 1 species
GAUGAACGCUGGCGGCGUGCCUAAUACAUGCAAGUCGAGCGAACAGACGAGGAGCUUGCUCCUCUGACGUUAGCGGCGGACGGGUGAGUAACACGUGGAUAACCUACCUAUAAGACUGGGAUAACUUCGGGAAACCGGAGCUAAUACCGGAUAAUAUAUUGAACCGCAUGGUUCAAUAGUGAAAGACGGUUUUGCUGUCACUUAUAGAUGGAUCCGCGUCGCAUUAGCUAGUUGGUACGGUAACGGCUUACCAAGGCGACGAUGCGUAGCCGACCUGAGAGGGUGAUCGGCCACACGGGAGCUGAGACGCGGUCCAGACUCCUACGAGAGGCAGCAGUAGGGAAUGUUCCGCAGUGGGCGAAAGCCUGACGGAGCAACGGCGCGUGAGUGAUGAAGGUCUUCGGAUCGUAAAACUCUGUUAUUAGGGAAGAACAAAUGUGUAAGUAACUAUGCACGUCUUGACGGUACCUAAUCAGAAAGCCACGGCUAACUACGUG